UACAGAGGUCUCAAGCGUUGUUCGGAUUCAUUGGGCGUAAAGGGUGCGUAGGCGGCGCGGUAAGUCGGGUGUGAAAUCUUGGAGCUUAACUCCGAAACUGCAUUCGAUACUGCCGUGCUUGAGGACUGGAGAGGAGACUGGAAUUUACGGUGUAGCGGUGAAAUGCGUAGAUAUCGUAAGGAAGACCAGUGGCGAAGGCGGGUCUCUGGACAGUUCCUGACACUGAGACGAAGGCCAGGGGAGCAAACGGGAUUAGAAACCCC
rnacentral:rRNA from 1 species